AAUAAUGAUCCUUCCGCAG
rnacentral:rRNA from 1 species